ACGGCAGCGGGGGUAGCUUGCUACCUGCCGGCGAGUGGCGAACGGGUGAGUAAUACAUCGGAACGUGCCCUGUAGUGGGGGAUAACUAGUCGAAAGACUAGCUAAUACCGCAUACGACCUGAGGGUGAAAGUGGGGGACCGCAAGGCCUCAUGCUAUAGGAGCGGCCGAUGUCUGAUUAGCUAGUUGGUGGGGUAAAGGCCCACCAAGGCGACGAUCAGUAGCUGGUCUGAGAGGACGAUCAGCCACACUGGGACUGAGACACGGCCCAGACUCCUACGGGAGGCAGCAGUGGGGAAUUUUGGACAAUGGGGGCAACCCUGAUCCAGCAAUGCCGCGUGUGUGAAGAAGGCCUUCGGGUUGUAAAGCACUUUUGUCCGGAAAGAAAUCGCUUCGGUUAAUACCUGGAGUGGAUGACGGUACCGGAAGAAUAAGGACCGGCUAACUACGUGCCAGCAGCCGCGGUAAUACGUAGGGUCCAAGCGUUAAUCGGAAUUACUGGGCGUAAAGCGUGCGCAGGCGGUUGUGCAAGACCGAUGUGAAAUCCCCGGGCUUAACCUGGGAAUUGCAUUGGUGACUGCACAGCUAGAGUGUGUCAGAGGGAGGUAGAAUUCCACGUGUAGCAGUGAAAUGCGUAGAGAUGUGGAGGAAUACCGAUGGCGAAGGCAGCCUCCUGGGAUAACACUGACGCUCAUGCACGAAAGCGUG
rnacentral:rRNA from 1 species